GGACGAACGCUGGCGGCAUGCCUAACACAUGCAAGUCGAACGGGGGUAGCAAUACCCUAGUGGCGAACGGGUGAGUAACACAUAAGCAAUCUGCCCUUCGACAGGGGGAUAACAGCGGGAAACUGCUGCUAAUACCGCAUAAGACCACGGUACCGCAUGGUACAGGGGUAAAAACGAAUCAGUGGUGAAGGAUGAGCUUAUGUCCCAUUAGCUAGUUGGUGAGAUAACAGCCCACCAAGGCGACGAUGGGUAGCCGACCUGAGAGGGUGAUCGGCCACACUGGAACUGAGACACGGUCCAGACUCCUACGGGAGGCAGCAGUGGGGAAUAUUGGGCAAUGGAGGAAACUCCUUACCCAGCAAUGCCGCGUGAGUGAAGAAGGUCUUCGGAUUGUAAAGCUCUUUGAUUGGGGACGAAGAAAGUGACGGUACCCAAAGAACAAGCCCCGGCUAACUACGUGCCAGCAGCAGC
rnacentral:rRNA from 1 species